rnacentral:rRNA from 1 species
UAGCUAGUUGGUGAGGUAAAGGCUUACCAAGGCGACGAUCUGUAGCGGGUCUGAGAGGAUGAUCCGCCACACUGGAACUGAGACACGGUCCAGACUCCUACGGGAGGCAGCAGUGGGGAAUUUUGGACAAUGGGGGCAACCCUGAUCCAGCCAUGCCGCGUGAGUGAAGAAGGCCUUCGGGUUGUAAAGCUCUUUCGGCCGGGAAGAAAUCGCAUGGGCCAAUACCCUGUGUGGAUGACGGUACCGGAAUAAGAAGCACCGGCUAACUACGUGCCAGCAGCCGCGGUAAUACGUAGGGUGCGAGCGUUAAUCGGAAUUACUGGGCGUAAAGCGUGCGCAGGCGGUUUUGUAAGACAGGCGUGAAAUCCCCGGGCUUAACCUGGGAACUGCGUUUGUGACUGCAAGGCUAGAGUACGGCAGAGGGGGGUGGAAUUCCACGUGUAGCAGUGAAAUGCGUAGAGAUGUGGAGGAACACCAAUGGCGAAGGCAGCCCCCUGGGUCGAUACUGACGCUCAUGCACGAAAGCGUGGGUAGCAAACAGGAUUAGAUACCCUGGUAGUCCACGCCCUAAACUAUGUCAACUAGGUGUUGGGUGGGUAAAACCAUUUAGUACCGUAGCUAACGCGUGAAGUUGACCGCCUGGGGAGUACGGCCGCAAGGUUAAAACUCAAAGGAAUUGACGGGGACCCGCACAAGCGGUGGAUGAUGUGGAUUAAUUCGAUGCAACGCGAAAAACCUUACCUACCCUUGACAUGCCAGGAACUUGCCAGAGAUGGCUUGGUGCCCGAAAGGGAGCCUGGACACAGGUGCUGCAUGGCUGUCGUCAGCUCGUGUCGUGAGAUGUUGGGUUAAGUCCCGCAACGAGCGCAACCCUUGUCGUUAAUUGCCAUCAUUUAGUUGGGCACUUUAACGAGACUGCCGGUGACAAACCGGAGGAAAGUGGGGAUGACGUCAAGUCCUCAUGGCCCUUAUGGGUAGGGCUUCACACGUCAUACAAUGGUCGGUACAAAGGGUUGCCAAGCCGCGAGGCGGAGCCAAUCCCAGAAAGCCGAUCGUAGUCCGGAUUGCAGGCUGCAACUCGCCUGCAUGAAGUCGGAAUCGCUAGUAAUCGUGGAUCAGCAUGUCACGGUGAAUACGUUCCCGGGUCUUGUACACACCGCCCGUCACACCAUGGGAGCGGGUUCCGCCAGAAGUAGGUAGCCUAACCGCAAGGGGGGCGCUUACCACGGCGGGGUUCGUGACUGGGGUGAAGUCGUAACAAGGUAACCGUAGGGGAACCUGCGGCUG